rnacentral:lncRNA from 1 species
CGGGAGAAUAGGAUCAGAGUUGUCCAGAUUAAGGUUGUCAGUUACCAGAUUAGGAGCAUUAAUUGCGGAAGAAGGCAUCAUUAUUGCAGAGAAUUACGGAGCAUUAAUAGUUUUAUACUCUGAAAUUGGGGGGCAUGUGUUGACACCGUUUUUAGGCACGUGUCCAGGAUGGCAGGAUAAAGUAGCAGUAUGCUGUUUACAAGAUGAAUUGCCGAUGAGGAUGGUUGCUGAUGAAGGGGAGGUCGGAUGUGACUAAGUCUGCAGGCAGUGAUGUGUUUAUACUGAUGGCUAUAAUGGGGAGUCUGCCGAUGACUAUGGCAAGGAGUCUGCCGAUGAUACGGAGGAGGAGUUCGGAAACUGCUGAUCGGUUUAUGGAAGAAUUUUAGUUCGUCAUGGGAAAUAGCUUUGUUAUUUCCUUAUUUAUUUAAGUCGUUUUGUAUGCGGAUUCCGUGUAAUUUGGAAUUCGAAUUCUGGUCGUGUUUAGUUGUAGUUCUUUGAGCAGGGUAUAAAUGUAAACCCUAGGGCCUUGUAAUGAUCAAUGAAUCAAUCAAUCAAACACACGUUUUUACUCAUACUCCAGCAUCUACUUUUCGACGACUUCGUCAUACUUUUUUUUUCCUUUUUUCAUUAUGAGUUCUUAGGAAUUCGUCGACUUAAGCUCGGCGUGUUCUCGAGUUCCGUGUGAGUACCUCUUAGCCGUGACAUCCGGGCGCAUCGCUGUUGUCAGGACUAAAGUAUUCGAGUUAUCACCUUUGCCGAUAGUAAGGUCAAAUCGGGUGGCACGCCUUAACGUUUGAAUCGGGUAUUAGCCCUUUGUGUUUGCAGAUCAGUUUUGCAUCAACAGCUGCGCAAUUAUCUUACAUCUAGAAGACUCCAGAAGCCACGAGACCGAAGCGGAGACGAAACGGGGCCAGAGGCAGGGCGCCCGCCCUGUCCUACUGGGCGCCCGCCCACCUCUGGAGCCCAAUCGGGACUCUUUCUCUCGGGAGAUCUCCACCGACCUAAAGGAUCAAGAAUAACCGUUCAAUCAAUGUCGGUUUGAUCCGACGGCCCAGGUUCACUUGAGGGGACUAUAAAACCAGACCCCCUAGCCCCUGGAGGAGGCACCCCUUGAUCAUUAUUCAUUAUUCAUAGACAGAGCAAAAGCUAGGGUUUAGAGAUGAGUGCUCUCCUCUCUUCUCUAAACUAGAGUAGAUCUAGAUAGUAGCGAGAUGG